AGCUCCAAUAGCGUAUAUUAAAGUUGUUGCGGUUAAAAAGCUCGUAGUUGGAUCUCAGUUCACGUUAAGUGGUCCACUUGCCGGUGGUUACUACUUAGCUGAACAUUUUACAGACCUGUCUUGUGAUGCUCUUCACCGGGUGUCAUGAGCGAUCUGUACGUUUACUUUGAAAAAAUUAGAGUGCUUAAAGCAGGCGUAACGCCCGAAUAAUCUUGCAUGGAAUAAUGGAAUAGGACCUCGGUUCUAUUUUGUUGGUCUUCGGGACCUGAGGUAAUGAUUAAGAGGGACAGACGGGGGCAUUCGUAUUGCGGCGCUAGAGGUGAAAUUCUUGGACCGUCGCAAGACGAACUACAGCGAAAGCAUUUGCCAAGAAUGUUUUCAUUAAUCAAGAACGAAAGUA
rnacentral:rRNA from 1 species